rnacentral:rRNA from 1 species
GAUCGCUUCAUUCAAAUAUUGCUGCCCUCAUCCAACUUUCGAUGGUAGGCAUCAGGGGCCUACCAUGGUUUCAACGGGUAACGGGGAAUAAGGGUUCGAUUCCGGAGAGGGAGCCUGAGAAACGGCUACCACAUCCAAGGAAGGCAGCAGGCGCGCAAAUUACCCAAUCCCGACACGGGGAGGUAGUGACAAUAAAUAACAAUAUAGGGCUCUAUUGGGUCUUAUAAGUUGGAAUGAGUACAAUUUAAACCCCUUAACGAGGAACAAUUGGAGGGCAAGUCUGGUGCCAGCAGCCGCGGUAAUUCCAGCUCCAAUAGCGUAUAUUAAAGUUGUUGCAGUUAAAAAGCUCGUAGUUGAACUUCGAACCUGGUUGGGUGGUCUGCCUUCACGGUACGUACUGCUCGGCCGGGUUCUACCUCUUGGUGAGCCGGCAUGCCCUUCACUGAGUGUGUCGAGGAACCAGGACUUUUACCUUGAGACAAUUAGAGUGUUCAAAUGCAGGCCUUUGCCCGAAUACAUUAGCAUGGCAUAAUAAAA